rnacentral:RNase_P_RNA from 1 species
CAAGUAGACCGGGUGACCGCCCCUUCUUUGAAGGGGAGGAAAGUCUGAACUCUACCGGGCAGGAUGCUGGGUAACACCCAGGAGGGGCGACCCUACGGAAAGUGCCACAGAAACAUACCGCCAGCGGUCCUUCACUUGUGAAGGAUACGGGUAAGGGUGAAAUGGUGGGGUAAGAGCUCACCAGCGGCUGGGUGACCAGCCGGCUGAGCAAACCCCAUCUGGAGCAAGACCAAAUAGGGGGAUAUAAGGAUGCCCGGCCUUGUCCCCGGGUUGGUCGCUUGACCCUUUCGGUAACGGAAGGGCGAGAUAGAUGGUCACCGUCCUUCACUUGUGAGGGAUACAGAAUUCGGCUUAUAGGUUUACUUGGCCC